AUGGGGCCAAGCCGGCGGAUCUGGCCCGGUCUGUAAACACAGCAUGAAAAACAGUCAAAGGAAAAGCAAGACCAUAGUUCUGGUUCGGUGUGCCUGCCUGUUUCUGUUGAACUGCCUACACACCACAGGAAGCUGAGAACUGCAGCUCUGAACUGAGUCCAAACUGAAACCUCUUUGAGUCCUGCUCUUGCAUAUCAUUGGGAACCAACUAUUAAACAGCAGAUGAUGUCCUGGUUCAUAUCGAUAUGUGGCCCUGCCGAAUUUCUGCUGAUGAUUCAUUAACUUCAUUCUGUUACAUUGUCUGUAAAUUGUGUGUGAGUGAUGAAUGACACUGUACACAUACAGUCAGCAUUUGAGAUGGUAAACUGCACAGAAACUAUAAAGUAUAUUGUCUAUCACAUGAUUAUGUUGGUACUAAAGGAAAAAACCUGUCCUAAACCACAAAUCAUACAGCUUAUUUUGUACAUUUGAACACAUGAUGAAGAUUAUCUUGAAUGUUACAGAAUUGUCUUUACAUUUUUUUAUUUUCCAGGAAAAACUGCCACUAAUAUCACACUUUUUUAUCAAGAGGAAGUACAUAAAUAUAAACAAUGUUGCUCCCAAAAUAUCACCCAGUGUCUUUAUGUGAUCUGCUGUAUAAGGGUAGUAGACUUUGCAAUAAUAUAAUUUCUUUUCUCCUGCACGAGUUUCUGACCCCCCUCAAUGAACCUGAGGGUCUUUGUUAUUGAUCAACCAGAGUAAAAAUCCUACUUCAGCA